rnacentral:rRNA from 1 species
UCCUUUUGUUGGGGAAGAAAUUUGACGGUACCCAACGAAUAAGCACCGGCUAACUCCGUGCCAGCAGCCGCUGUAAUACGGAGGGUGCAAGCGUUACUCGGAAUCACUGGGCGUAAAGGACGCGUAGGCGGAUUAUCAAGUCUUUUGUGAAAUCUAAUGGCUUAACCAUUAAACUGCUUGAGAAACUGAUAAUCUAGAGUGAGGGAGAGGCAGAUGGAAUUGGUGGUGUAGGGGUAAAAUCCGUAGAGAUCACCAAGAAUACCCAUUGCGAAGGCGAUCUGCUAGAACUCAACUGACGCUAAUGCGUGAAAGCGUGGGGAGCAAACAGGAUUAGAUACCCUGGUAGUCCACGCCCUAAACGAUGUAUACUAGUUGUUGCUCUGCUAGUCAGGGCAGUAAUGCACCUAACGGAUUAAGUAUACCGCCUGGGGAGUACGGUCGCAAGAUUAAAACUCAAAGGAAUAGACGGGGACCCGCACAAGCGGUGGAGCAUGUGGUUUAAUUCGAAGAUACGCGAAGAACCUUACCUGGGCUUGAUAUCCUAAGAACCUCUUAGAGAUAAGAGGGUGCUAGCUUGCUAGAACUUAGAGACAGGUGCUGCACGGCUGUCGUCAGCUCGUGUCGUGAGAUGUUCGGUUAAGUCCGGCAACGAGCGCAACCCACGUAUUUAGUUGCUAACAGUUUGGCUGAGCACUCUAAAUAUACUGCCUUCGUAAGGAGGAGGAAGGUGUGGACGACGUCAAGUCAUCAUGGCCCUUAUGCCCAGGGCGACACACGUGCUACAAUG